CCCUUAGAUGUUCUGGGCCGCACGCGCGCCACACUGACUGCUCCAACAAGUUACCUGGGCUGACAAGCAUCCGGGAAAUCUUGCAAAGGCAGUCGUGAUGGGGAUAGAUUCUUGUAAUUUUUGAUCUUCAACGAGGAAUUCCUAGUAAACGCAAGUCAUCAGCUUGCAUUGAUUACGUCCCUGCCCUUUGUACACACCGCCCGUCGCAUCUACCGAUUGAAUGGAGAGGCAAAAUCUUCGGACCGUGACGCUUGGGAGUCAAAUCUCGGGCUGUCGUGGGAAGUGGAUUAAACCUUUCUAUUUAGAGGAAGGUAAAGUCGUAACA
rnacentral:rRNA from 1 species